AAAAGGACAGUGCCCGAUUACUUUGCCAAGAUGAACACAAGCCCUAAGCUCAUUAAGGGCUUGGCCUCUGCUGCAGAAGGAUCAGGUCAGACCCUGGCCGUUCGCAGAGCUGUGCAUUGCUGCAGGGCUUUGCCUCCCUCGGACAGCCCAGCCAUGCUGGGGACCCUGAUGACAGCGCUCUUCUUCGUGGUGCGGGCGUUAGGGCAGGUGAGUGUGGGCAGCCUGGAGCAUUGCUGCCCUUUGCCUUCUGUGGGUUACCUGAUGGAGGGAGGGCAGCAACGGGCCCUGGCCUUGCUGGGGGGGUGCAGUGGGAAGUGUCCAUGCCCCUGUGAGCUGUGUCUUCAGCUCUGCAGCCCCACUGCCUCAGGAGGAGCCUUUCUCAUCAGUGUGGUGCCAUAGCACACACUGAGCAUCACCACGGCUGCUCACUGCUGGUGUUUGUGGAGAUGCAGCUCAUUCUGUUGUUCUGCUUCUGUCCUCUUACCUGUGCCCAUCCUCUGUGUGCCCAGCUGGGGAGCAGCCUGUUCCAUGAGGAGCCCCUGCCAUACCUCGUGUACCAGCCCCUGCCCUGGCAGAUCCAGUGUGUGAGCCAGAGCCGCCGCUCCAGCCGGGACAGUGAGAGAGGCAGGAGCUCUCGGCACAACAGCAUCUACUCCAUUUCUGGAGAGAAAGGUGAGUAUGGAGCCUGCACAAGUAACAUGGGAAGCACAUGGCUGUGUGACUGUGGGAUGCAGCAGAGCAGGAAUUGCUGUUCCUGGCCCCUUUCUGGCCUGCCUCUUCCAAAAGAUCUCUCUGACAUUAUGAAGGGGUAUUUUGGAAGAUGUUUGUUAAAUCUGCAGUAUCAGCAACUGGAGGCCGGAGUGAAUAGACAUCAUCUCACACACGUACAUGGGUGCGUGUGCUUCCUGCCUCUUCCCAUGAAGCCUGCCCAUGGAAUACCAUGUGUCACUGUCCCCCGGACCAGCCCCUCUUCCUCUCCUCCCCAUCCUGUGCCCCCCUUUCUCCUCCUCACUCCUACCUCCAAGGCUCUGCCCUCUGCCCAAGUCAAGCACCCAGCAAAGAGGAUUUGGUGUUUCUAUUCCCAGUGCAGCUCAGGCAGCAGCAGGAUGAAGGAGGUGAGGUGCAGGGGGGGCUGAGCUGUGAUGUUCCUCCUUGGUGCAUGGACCAGGACCUCUGUUGUGGGGUUCUCACUGCCCUGGGACUGGUGACAGCCCCUGUGCCGACAGCAGCCCUUGUCCUGGUGCAGCAAACGUGUAGAGCAUCACAGCCCCGGUGGCCAUGCAGGACGUACAUCCCGUGUAUCUUGUUGAACAGGGCAGGAGGGAGCUCAUUCCCAAUGCACCCCCUUUUAUUCAUCCUUCUUUACUUUGCAGUUUCUUUUAGGCUGUGAAUAAAAGCGGGUUCAGGUGAGUUUAUGGAGCA
rnacentral:lncRNA from 14 species